rnacentral:sRNA from 1 species
GACACUAUGGGCCCAGCAGCCAGGUGUCAGCUUCUGGAAUUGGCUUCGCCCCUGGCGAGAGCACCUCGGCCUCGUUCUCAGGGCCCUCCGAUGUGGGUCUGCGAUAACUGAGAUGCGGGGAACCCAGGUCCACAGCGUCGCAGGGCCCUCGCAAUGGCUUGGGAAACCGCUGACCACACGGCUCCUAUUCCCAGUAGCCCCGUGCUGCUGUCGCCCACACUACCUCUUCCUUGCGGCUUCCGGCCCCCGCAGCCUCAGUACCUCUGCCAUCUCGUUUGCAGAAGUCCAGGUUCAGGCCCCUCCUGUUGUUGCUGCAACUCCCUCACCCACAGCAGUACCUGAGGUGGCUUCUGGAGAGACUGCAGAUGUAGUCCAAACUGCUGCAGAGCAGAGCUUCGCUGAACUGGGGCUGGGGUCAUACACCCCAGUGGGGCUGAUCCAGAAUUUACUGGAAUUUAUGCAUGUCGAUCUGGGCCUACCUUGGUGGGGGGCCAUUGCUGCAUGUAAGGGGAAUAUACCCUGGACAUGGGUUAGGGAUUUAACCUCAUAGAUGGCAAUUCUUUGAAUGGAUUCAGGAAGUAGUUGCAGAAGCU